UACGGAGGGUGGCAAACGUUUGUCCGGAAUCACUGGGCGUAAAGAGCAUGUAGGUGGUUUUGUAAGUGAGCGAUUAAAGACCGAUGCUUAACAUCGGGGAGUGUUCGCUUAUACUGCAUGACUAGAGGAGGACAGGGGUAAGCGGAACUUUAGGUGUAGGAGUGAAAUCCGUAGAUAUCUAAAGGAACACCAAUGGCGAAGGCAGCUUACUGGGUCUUUUCUGACACUGAGAUGCGAAAGCGUGGGGAGCGAACGGG
rnacentral:rRNA from 1 species